rnacentral:rRNA from 1 species
UGGGGAAUAUUGCACAAUGGGCGAAAGCCUGAUGCAGCAACGCCGCGUGAGUGAUGAAGGUCUUCGGAUUGUAAAGCUCUGUCUUUUGGGACGAUAAUGACGGUACCAAAGGAGGAAGCCACGGCUAACUACGUGCCAGCAGCCGCGGUAAUACGUAGGUGGCGAGCGUUGUCCGGAUUUACUGGGCGUAAAGGGUGCGUAGGCGGAUGUUUAAGUGAGAUGUGAAAUACCCGGGCUUAACUUGGGUGCUGCAUUUCAAACUGGAUAUCUAGAGUGCAGGAGAGGAGAAUGGAAUUCCUAGUGUAGCGGUGAAAUGCGUAGAGAUUAGGAAGAACACCAGUGGCGAAGGCGAUUCUCUGGACUGUAACUGACGCUGAGGCACGAAAGCGUGGGUAGCAAACAGGAUUAGAUACCCUGGUAGUCCACGCCGUAAAACG